rnacentral:rRNA from 1 species
UACAGAGGCCUCGAGCGUUAGGCGGAAUCACUGGGCUUAAAGCGCGUGUAGGCGGAUCGUUAAGUGCCUUGUGAAAUCCCACGGCUCAACCGUGGAACUGCUGGGCAUACUGGCGGUCUUGGGCCACUCAGGGGUUGCCGGAACAAACGGUGGAGCGGUGAAAUGCGUAGAUAUCGUUUGGAACGCCGAAGGUGAAGACAGGCAACUGGGAGUGCGCCGACGCUGAGACGCGAAAGCCAGGGGAGGCAAACGGG